UACAUCUUCACCAUAAAAAAAAAAAAAAAAAAAAAAAAAAAAAAAAAAAAAAAAAAAAAAAAAAAAAAAAAAAAAAAAAAAAAAAAAAAAAAAAAAAAUAUUUUCAUCUGCUGUAGGAGAAACAUCUAGCCAGCUGACACAAGCCACUCAGUUUACUUCUACCACAGAAUCAGAACUUAAAACAGAAGCUAUAUCAGUAUUUACAACAGCUAUGACCCCUAUGAGCACAUCCACAUUAGAAUAUUCUACAACUGAAAGUGUAUCAACUGCAGAAACUACAUUGUCCACAACAGGUUCCUCUCCAUUUUCACCAUCUACAAUAACAGACGGACAAAGCGCAUCAGGAUUCACUUUAUCAAUACAUACAUUGUCAUCUAGUGUAGAACGAACAAGCCAGCAAACACAAACCACUCAGUUUCCUUCUACCAUAGAAACAGAAUCCAUGAGUAUGUCCACUUUAGAAUCGUCUACACUUGAAAGUGGUUCAACAAGUACCUCUUCAGCUUCACCACUACCAUUGUCUACCACAGAAGGACAAACCAUAUCAACAUUUACCUCAUCUAUAACAGAAUUAAUGUCAUCUAGUAUAGAACAAUCAACAAGCCAGCCGACACAAACCGCUCAGUCACCCAUGAGCACCACAUUACUAUCAUCUACACUUGAAAGUAGUUCAAUACUGGAAACUACAUUACCCACAAUAGGUUCAACUCCAUCUUCACUAUUUACUACAAUAGAAGGACAAACGUCUCCUAAUCCUCAAACAAUAACCCCAGCUGAUACAGCCCAAACAUUUAGCAUUCCUACAUCAUCCCAGUCGAGCACAUCUGCUGAAACUAGUACCCAGAAAACUUCAUCAGUAUCAACAGAACUCCAUUCAUCCCCAACAACAGUAAACACAGUUUCAACAACUCAAAACUGUCUGGAGAAUUGUCAGUGUAAUGGGUCCCCAUGCAUCUUCAAUGUAACAUCUGGGAAAUGUCAGUGUCAGUGCAAUUCUUUCACUUUUGGAGAGUAUUGCAAUUUUGCAAAUGACUCUUCUGCUAUUACCUGGUCUGAAAGCACACCCACAAGGAAUGCAAGCAUCUCUCUCAGAAUUAUGAUGGACUAUCUUCCUGAGUAUGAAAAUAUGGACUCUCCAGAAUCAAACAAACUUAUUUCCAUCUUAAAUCGUGAGAUUUCAAUCCUUUGUAAAAGGGCAGAUGCACAAAAUUUCAAAAAUGUGCACAUACAUAGGCUUAUGCAAGGAAGUGUCGUUGCUGAAAGUACUGCAGUAUAUAACUAUCCCAACAACAACUCGCAAAUAAUGUUUCUAAAUAAUGAUUUGGGACCCACCCUGGAAAAAAUCUUUAACGACUCAGAUUCAUUUAAAAAUCUCAGUAUAGAUCUCGGUAAUGUUGCCAUCCAAAGUGACCAAAUUACCAUGGAGCCAGUUAAAAUAUCAAACAUUUCAGAUCUGCAGUCAUUUGUGCAAUGCACAGUGAAUUUUGCAAACUUAACAGUAGAGAUUGAAGAUGGAGCAUGGGUAUGUGUGGGACCAUGUAAAAAAAAUCCAGAAUUCUGCAAUCAACGAGGUGAAUGCCUAAAUGAAAUAAAUGGACCACAGUGCAUGUGUUACAGUACUCCCUUUGAGGAGUACUAUGGAGCUCAGUGUGAGCUUUACAAAAGAGGGGCCGGUUUCUACGCUGUUCUCUUCGGCUGUUUAGCAGCUUUUGCUGUAUUUAUCAUUGUCUUGGCUGUGAUGAUUGUGGUGCUCUACAGAGCCAAGAGCAGAAAAUCAAGCAAAAGGAGGUUAUCACUUUUUGGUGAUGUCUUCUUUGAUUUUACAUCAAGAGGAUCCAUGGACAGAGGUUAUGGGCAUCAAAAUUUUUCAUUCUCAGAAUAUUCAGGACCUGGGUCUUUCAGCUCAUAACAUGAAAAUACACCUGUACGAUAAAGACCAGAGCAACUGAAGUGGUGGAUGUCUGAUGAACAGAAAAGACAGAUUUUAUUUAAAAUAUUUUUAAAAGAAUUCAGACAUUAUAAUCUCAGGAAACCAACAUAAUUAUACAUAUAUUUACUGGGUUGAUUUCAGAUUAUUUCAAUGAAAUUGAUUAUCAAGUAUCUCAGUGUAGAUAAUUUAUAUUGUGUAGAAUAUUUACAUAGCAUAAGAACAAUGUAUAAAGCAUCUCUAUAAAACUCAGUUAUCUAUGAUACCAAACACUCCACAGCAUAUGUAUAAAUCAAUAAUAAACCUAUUAAAUAUGUAGGGGUUGUUAAAAUAUGGUCCACUGCAUUACACAAGUGCUCACCUGAAGUGCGGCCACUGACACAAUCACAAAACACAGCCAAUCAGAACAAAUCUCUCUCUCAGGUUUUGGCACCCUGUUUCACACGUAGGCCUAUCUUAUAUUUUUUUUAAUUCCUGUGAUGCUUCACUAGAGGGUCUAGUUUUUAUGGUUAAUGGUUUGUCAUGUAAAAUCUGCUUUUACACCUUCACUCUCUCUACAUCCAUAUUUGAUAAUUAAUAUACAUUAGAAGCUGUACUUCGGUCCAAUAGCUGACGUUGUGGGCGGGGCUUCCUGCUCAAUGCCACAUAAACGGUUUUCCAAAGCGACUUACAAUAUAGGAACAUAAGCAACAAUAUCUGUAUAAAAUGCUAGGAACAUUAGUAAAUAAAGACAGCAGAGGAGAAAUGCAAAGAGGUGUCAAAGGGUGUCAUAAAUAAUCACAUUUCUUAUUCAAAUUUCUGAUCUAUUUACAGUGCUACCACAUUAACCAGCUGCAGAACAGUCAGUUAUGUUUGUUUUUGUUGGCACUGUACAUUUAUUGAGUAUGCUAUUUCUGUGUUUUUUGGUUAUGGUAGCAGGGUAUUUAUAGAGAAAAUAACUAUGCUGAAUAUAUAGUAUUUUUGCAAAUAAAAUUCUUAAAAUAAAGCAUAUGUGUGACAUUACAACGUAUUGGCUAUAUUUAGCAUCAUAUUCAUCAGGAUUUUGUUAAAAAAAAAAUGUUGUUGCAGUGUCGCUAUCAUGUCAUUAGGAGGCACUACAGACUUUAAGUCUUUAGUCUUAGAUGGACUUUUAUAUAUAUAAGGGCGGGGUUGAUCUCUAUGGAUGAUGUCAUCUUGCUUACUAACUAUGCCCACAGUGUUUGGCUGAUAGUCUCUGUCAGAGAUUUAUUCAUAUAAAUAUUGUAGAGCGCGAUGUUGCCAUAUAUAAAGGUUUAAAAAUACAAAUGUUGCCACAUUCAAAUAAAGAUUUUAAAAUGCAGGCUAAGCAUCACUAAUUAAACAAGUAUAUGUUCAGCUUUUCGAAAGCCUCUUACAUGUAUGCUUCUUAUAAACAAUUAGUGAAUAUGCAUAUAAACAGUCUUUUAAUU
ensembl:lncRNA